rnacentral:misc_RNA from 1 species
CAAAGAAUUCCUAGUCAGGUGGGGUCAAUUUGCUGGUUGCUUCGGGUUGAAUAUUUUUAUUAAUUUAAUUUUCCGGUCAAAAUGUGGGUUGAUUGGAUCAAUCGGAACAAAGUCAACCUUGGGUUGGGUCAUAAAGGUUGUUGGGUUGACUUCUCAAUUUUGUCGGCCUUUCGGGUUUUGUGCAGGUUGAAACAGGUUGUGGAGUCAGGUUGGCAAGUCUGGUCAAAAUAUGCCACAUUUACUUGAAACUCUAAUCUUUAUGUAUACAAUCUAGUGAAUUUUGUUUUUAUCGGAGAGAAAGGCCAUGUAAGGUUUCUUUUAAUUGAGGUAGCUAUUACAUAUCAG